UGCAGUCGAACGGCAGCACGGGAGCAAUCCUGGUGGCGAGUGGCGAACGGGUGAGUAAUAUAUCGGAACGUGCCCAGUCGUGGGGGAUAACGCAGCGAAAGCUGUGCUAAUACCGCAUACGAUCUACGGAUGAAAGCGGGGGAUCGCAAGACCUCGCGCGAUUGGAGCGGCCGAUAUCAGAUUAGCUAGUUGGUGGGGUAAAAGCCCACCAAGGCGACGAUCUGUAGCUGGUCUGAGAGGACGACCAGCCACACUGGAACUGAGACACGGUCCAGACUCCUACGGGAGGCAGCAGUGGGGAAUUUUGGACAAUGGGCGCAAGCCUGAUCCAGCAAUGCCGCGUGCAGGAUGAAGGCCUUCGGGUUGUAAACUGCUUUUGUACGGAACGAAACGGCUCCUUCUAAUACAAGGGGCUAAUGACGGUACCGUAAGAAUAAGCACCGGCUAACUACGUGCCAGCAGCCGCGGUAAUACGUAGGGUGCGAGCGUUAAUCGGAAUUACUGGGCGUAAAGCGUGCGCAGGCGGUUAUAUAAGACAGAUGUGAAAUCCCCGGGCUCAACCUGGGACCUGCAUUUGUGACUGUAUAGCUAGAGUACGGUAGAGGGGGAUGGAAUUCCGCGUGUAGCAGUGAAAUGCGUAGAUAUGCGGAGGAACACCGAUGGCGAAGGCAAUCCCCUGGACCUGUACUGACGCUCAUGCACGAAAGCGUGGGGAGCAAACAGGAUUAGAUACCCUGGUAGUCCACGCCCUAAACGAUGUCAACUGGUUGUUGGGUCUUCACUGACUCAGUAACGAAGCUAACGCGUGA
rnacentral:rRNA from 1 species